UGGGUUGGGUGGGUGGGUCACGGAUGGGUUGGUUGGUGGUUGGUCGGAGCGUGGGUGGGCUGCAGUUGGCCAGGCGCUGGCCGCUGCCCGCUGGCGUUUGUGCCUCGCGCCUUCACCCCCCAGCCCCACAGAACGACACGACCGGAGAGAAAAACAAAAAACAGCUUUUUAUUAAUAAUUACAAAAAAAACGUUGGGGAGACCCCAGGGUGGAGGAACCCCCGGGGGGGGGGGCGUCGGGGGCCUCGCACGGGAGCAGCGUCACAGAGGCGGGCAGCGCAGGCACCGCUCCCCGUCCCCGCUGGCCUCUGAUGUCCCCAACCCCGUGGUCAUCAUCCCGCCACGUCCCCAGCCCCAGGGCCACCACCCCCCCCUCUGCACAAGUCUUUGUGGCCACCGACUCUCCGUGUCCCCGACCCUGGGGUCGCCACCUCUCUCUGCACAAGCCCCCGGACCAACAUUUUUUGAUGCUCUUCAACUUUACGGCCACCAACUCGCCGUGUCCCCAGCCCCACGGCCACCAUCCCUCCGCACACAAGCCCCGUGGCCACCAUCUUUUGACGUUACCCAGCCCCACGACCACCAUCUUUUGACGGUGGCCACCAUCCUUCCGUAUCCCCAACCCCACGGCCACCAUUCUUCCACGUUCCCCAGCCACGUGGCCAGCACCUUUCGGUGUUCUCCAACCCCCAUGGCCACCGUCCUUCCAUGUCCCCAACCCUGUGGCCACCAUUUUGAUAUGCUCCAACCCCAUUCCCCAACCCCGUGGCCACCAUCCUUCCACGUCCCCAACCCCGUGGCCACCUUCCUUCCACGUCCCCAACCCCGUGGCCACCAUCCCUCCACGCACAAGCCCCAUGGCCGCCAUCUUUUGGUGUUCUCCAACCCCACGGCCGCCAUUUUCGAUAUUCUCCAACCCCAUUCCCCAACCCCGUGGCCACCAUCCUUCCACGUCCCCGACCCCGUGGCCACCAUCCCUCCACGCACAAGCCCCAUGGCCGCCAUCUUUUGGUGUUCUCCAACCCCACGGCCACCAUUCUUCCACGUCCCCAACCCAUGGCCACCAUCCUUUUGUGUCCCCAACCCCGUGGCCACCAUCCUUCCACGCCCCCACCCCCACAACCACCAUCUUUUGACGCGCCCCCUUCCCCAGCCCCUGC
rnacentral:lncRNA from 1 species